ACUGCAUUCUGCACUGGAGGUGGACUGUGGAUAUGCAGAGCUCUAUGGGAAAAACAGUCUUCCUCCCAUGGAGAUUUAUCUGAAGGUGCAAAGCUAGAACUGGAGACACUUGGGCUGCAUUCUCCAUGUUGCCUCUUCAAGAGUCAGGGUCUUUGGAUUUAUUUGCAUGAAGAACAGUGUGUGCUGAACAAGGAAAAUGGGCAUUUUCCACAACAUCUAAAAUCCGUGUCUCAAAUGUGUAAGCUAAUCUCCUGUAUAUUUAAAGUGCUCAGCAAUGAUUUAAGAGGGCAGCAAUUACUUGACACAUCUCUGAAGGCUAAAUGGAGUAAUGUGCUGGUGUUUAAAGUCUGAUCCAAAGCUCAUCAUCUCAUGCAAAGAGCAGGAAACCUUGUUCUGAAGGUUGCCAGCUGCAGAAGGAGCCUCAGGACCAGUUAAAGCUGCAGGCUGUAACCUAUAUUCAUCUAACCACUGGCUGUUGGUGCGAGGAUGUGGAGCUGACACAGGAAGACGGCUGGAUUGCUGUUUCCUGCGAUGUGUUGUAGAGAAAAUAUGCUUCAGUAGCAAAG
rnacentral:lncRNA from 1 species